rnacentral:rRNA from 1 species
AGAGUUUGAUCCUGGCUCAGAUUGAACGCUGGCGGCAUGCCUUACACAUGCAAGUCGAACGGUAACAGCACUUCGGUGGCUGACGAGUGGCGAACGGGUGAGUAAUACAUCGGAACGUGCCCGAGAGUGGGGGAUAACGCAGCGAAAGCUGUGCUAAUACCGCAUACGAUCUACGGAUGAAAGCAGGGGACCGCAAGGCCUUGCGCUCACGGAGCGGCCGAUGGCAGAUUAGGUAGUUGGUGGGAUAAAAGCUUACCAAGCCGACGAUCUGUAGCUGGUCUGAGAGGACGACCAGCCACACUGGGACUGAGACACGGCCCAGACUCCUACGGGAGGCAGCAGUGGGGAAUUUUGGACAAUGGGCGGAAGCCUGAUCCAGCCAUGCCGCGUGCAGGAUGAAGGCCUUC